UCCGUGACCCACUCUACAUCAAAUUGCAAUUCACUACGAUAGUGCAACCAAACACAAGUUAAAGGGCAAGGGACCAAAAGGCCAAGAUGUUGGGAAUUGAUAACAAUGCUAGAACAAGCAUAAAUGGAAGAACAAGCAUAAAUGCUGGGGCAAUACUUGGUGGCACCCAUCAAAUGGAUGGCUCAGAUUUUCCAAACAGAUCUGUAGUGUACAUUCAUCUCCGGGGUGUAAAGAAUUUCCUGGGAACAGUGUUACAUCUCUCAUUAGAGCAACUGCAGAUUAUCCAAGGGGAAGAAGAAGAAGAAGAAAAGAAGAGCUGCAAUGGCUCUCUCUCUUCCUCAGAUUCAACAAGAAGAAGCGAUGCCAUAUCAAGGUACAAAAUCUCUCUCUCUCUCUCUCUCUCUCUCUCUCUCUCUCUCUCUCUCUCUCUCUCUCUCUCCUCUUUUUUUUUUCUUGGAUCGGAUUCGAACCUGGGCCAAUCUGAUCUGACUCAGUUUUCCUGACUGAGUCGGACUCGGAUCGGUCCAGGGCCACAUGGGUUAGGAUCGGAUUGGGUUAGAGGACCAGGACUUGGUCCCGGUUCUGACCGAGUUUGGGUCAGGCCAUGCAGAACUCGGAUCUGGUCGAGUUGGGCCCAAUCCGAUUCGACU